UAGGGAAUCUUCCACAAUGGACGCAAGUCUGAUGGAGCAACGCCGCGUGAGUGAAGAAGAUCUUCGGAUCGUAAAACUCUGUUGUUAGAGAAGAACACGAGUGAGAGUAACUGUUCAUUCGAUGACGGUAUCUAACCAGCAAGUCACGGCUAACUACGUGCCAG
rnacentral:rRNA from 1 species